rnacentral:rRNA from 1 species
CCUACGGGUGGCAGCAGUGAGGAAUAUUGGUCAAUGGGCGCGAGCCUGAACGAGCCCAGUAGCGUGAAGGAUGACUGCCCUACGGGUUGUAAACUUCUUUUAUAAAGGAAUAAAGUGAGGCACGUGUGCCUUUUUGUAUGUACUUUAUGAAUAAGGAUAGGCUAACUACGUGCCAGCAGCCGCGGUAAUACGGAGGAUCCGAGCGUUCUCUGGUUCUGUUUGGUUUAAAGGGAGCGUAGAUGGGUUGUUAAGUUAGUUGUGAAAGUUUGCGGCUCAACCGUAAAAUUGCAAUUGAUACUGGCAGCCUUGAGUACAGUUGAGGUAGGCGGAAUUCGAGGUGUAGCGGUGAAAUGCUUAGAUAUAACGAAGAACUCCGAUGGCGAAGGCAGCCUACUAAUCUGCCACUGACGUUGAUGCUCGAAAGUGUGGGUAUCAAACAGGAUUAGAUACCCUUGUAGUC